rnacentral:lncRNA from 1 species
GCGAAUUCGUGCCCGAAAUUCUCAAAUCUAGUCAUAAACAAUUCGAUUCAAUCAAUAAAAAUUAUAGGAAUUAAUUCCGUAUGAAAUUCUACAUUUUCCAUUAAAAAUCUGAAAUUGCACUAAAAAUUCGCCCGUGGGCCCACGUCUCGGAACCCGACAAAAAUAUGGAAUAUGAAACCUCAUCCAACCACGAGUCCAACCAUACCAAUUUUACAAAAAUCCGACAUCAACUCGACCCUUAAAUUUUCAAAUUAAACCAAGAGGGUUUUCAAAAUUUUCCUAACUAAAAUCACCAAUUAAAUGCCAAAACUAGUAAUAGAUUCGGGUAAUCUAACUAAAAUUAAGUUAAGAACACUUACCCCAUUGUUUUCUCUGAAAAUCUCCCGAAAAUCCCCUCUCCCCGAGCUCCAAUUUGGUACAAAUGGAAAAUGGGACGAAGUCCCAUUUUCAGAGCUUAACAUUCUGUCCAGCACUGUUCAUGGGCGCUGUUCACUUGUAAUGUUCACGCGUACAGUUCACGGGUACUGUUAACGGGCACUGUUCGUGGGUACUGUUCCCAUGCUGUAAAAAAUCAGCAGCUGUCCAAAGAGAAAAUUCAGCAGCCUUUUUAUAUCCGUUAACCUUCCGAAAUCCACCCGAGGCCCUCGGGACUUCAACAAAAUAUACCAACAAGUCCUAAAACAUGAUACGGACUUAGUCGAAACCUCAAAUCACAUCAAAUAAUGCUAAAAUCGUGAAUCACCCCAAUUCAAGCCUAAUGAAACUAAAAACGUCCAACUUCUAUAUUCGAUGCAAAAACCUAUCAAAUCAAGUCCGAUUGACUUCAAAUUUUGCACACAAGUCAUAAAUGACAUAACAAAGCUAUGAAAAUUUUCAGAACUGGAUUCCGAUCCCGAUAUCAAAAAGUCAAAUCUCCGGUCAAACUUGAGAAAUCUUUAACCUUAGAUUUCUAGAUUCAGUUAAAUGGCGAUAAUUUGAUCUAGGGACCUCUAAAUUCGAUUUCGGGCAUAUGACCAAGUCCCAAAUCACGAUACGGAACUACCGGAAUGGUCAAAACUUUUAUCCGGAUUCGUUUGCAUAAAAUAUUGACCGAAGUCAACUCAAUUGAGUUUUAAAGCUCUAAUUCACAAUUUAAUCCAUUUUUCAUAUAUGAACCUUCCGAAAAAUUAUACGGACUGCGCACGCAAGUCGAGGAUUUAUUGAUAGCGCUUUUCAAGGUUUUAAAAUACCGAGAUAAUUAUUUAAAUUAAAUAUGACAUUUUGGGUCAUCACAUAGAAAUAGUACAACUGAAGAAUAAGAAGGCAAUGUGGUUGUAUCCAAGGAUGAUGAGUGUUCAUCCUUCUGAAAGAUGGAGUCAUUCUUCUUGUUACUCUAAUGACUGUAUUUUCCUACUGCAAAGUGGAUGUUAUGGACUGAAAAACUCAGAGUUAGUUUGGCCGUGCUUUCAUUCCUUCAUGUUACUGUAAAGUUUUGUUUUCAUAUAUUAUAUACAUCUCUUUUGUUUUUCUUGUCCUAAUGUUGAUAAUUCAGCUCAACUAAAUUGGUGUAUACAUGCAUGUUCCUUUCUUGUUUCUUCUUCCAGGAAAAAAAAAACAAGAAAAUGAAAAAAUGCAAUUAAAGGAAAAACAAAAUGAAGGAAAAUUCAAUUUUCUGUUUUACGUUUUGUCUCCUUCAAUUUGUACUUACUGCAGUUACAACUAUAGAUGUCACAUUAAUCUCUACCAAAUGAACAACUUUCUAGGAGUAUGGUUUUUUUGAAAAAAAAAUUCCUUUUCUAUAUUUAAUUUGUUUAAAGUUUUCACAUCAUAUAUUUGUUGGCGUAAAGAAUUUUUACAGUAACAUAUUUUUAAAUCAAGAGUACAUAAAUUAAACACUUGGGAAUUUAUAUAACUUUCUCUUGUUUUCACUUACACACUUAAUCAUAGAUCAUAGUUGAAUACAUUUAUAUAGCAUAUAAAAAUCCUCAAUAGAAAUGAAGAACUUCCAAAGUGAGCAGAGUUUAAAUGUCAGGUUUCAAAACACUAUCAAUUUAACAAGCUAUUUUGUGGAAAUUGGGCCCGGGCACAACCCGGACUUCUCCAACUAGUAUGAAAAUAUGUAUUAGUAAAUAAUAACCAUGGUUAAGUGAGAAGAGUCUAUUUAUAUAUAUACAUAUCAUGCAUUUAUUGAUUUGAUGUACACACGUGUUACAGGUAAAUUUUUACCAAAAAACAUAUCAUACUUUUGCUGGAGAUGAGUACAUGAAUGCUGAUAUUUCCCAGGAUAACAAACCCAUCUUGUUAAAACUAUUUUGGUUGUAGUAUAUGGCAUUAUGUUAAGUUUUAACAAACACAUAGUUAAAUUUAAUCAAUCUAGUUAACAAACUCAAUGCCGCAAUUUAAGGGCCAAGUCAAUGCAACACCUUUAAUGGAUACAUUAAAACUUUGUUCUAAUGAAAUCCAUUGUUUGCUUAAUUAAUUGCUUAUCAUGAAGUGUAUAAUAACUCUCUCAACUCAGCCACAUAGUGAAGCCAAAGCAUACAACUUUUGGAAGCAUUCAACGUACAUGACUAUGUCUAAUCUAACCAUCAAAAGUUAUAUCGGAAUGAAUAAAAUCCCUUCACUUUUAGUUAAAUGUCUUGGAUUUGAGCUUUGAAUACGAAAAAAAGAUCCUAGUAAGAAGUAUUUUUUUCCUUUAAUAAAUUUUAGGUGGCACAAAUUCUGAUUAAUUGGGAUCCUAAUGCGUUUAACAAAUCACAAGAUAAGAAAUAGAAUUAAAAAAAAAAAAGAGAGACUAUGUCUACUGUACAGUUCCAAAUCGAAAAUGACAAGAUCCUUUUACUUACAAAAUCGAUCCUUUUACUUACAAAAUCACAAUAGAAUGUGCAGUAUGGUCUUGCAAAGGCUGCUGCCGGCCGGCUAUACUUUCCACAGGACCAUCGACACGUGACCGCAGAUUUUUGCCGAGUUGCCAACCUUUGAAUAAGAU